AUUGAACGCUGGCGGCAUGCCUUACACAUGCAAGUCGAACGGUAACAGGUCUUCGGAUGCUGACGAGUGGCGAACGGGUGAGUAAUACAUCGGAACGUGCCUAGUAGUGGGGGAUAACUACUCGAAAGAGUGGCUAAUACCGCAUGAGAUCUACGGAUGAAAGCAGGGGAUCGCAAGACCUUGUGCUACUAGAGCGGCCGAUGGCAGAUUAGGUAGUUGGUGGGAUAAAAGCUUACCAAGCCGACGAUCUGUAGCUGGUCUGAGAGGACGAUAAGCCACACUGGGACUGAGACACGGCCCAGACUCCUACGGGAGGCAGCAGUGGGGAAUUUUGGACAAUGGGCGCAAGCCUGAUCCAGCAAUGCCGCGUGCAGGAUGAAGGCCUUCGGGUUGUAAACUGCUUUUAUACGGAACGAAAAGCCCUGGGUUAAUACCCUGGGGUCAUGACGGUACCGUAAGAAUAAGCACCGGCUAACUACGUGCCAGCCGCCGCAGUAACAC
rnacentral:rRNA from 1 species